UACGUAGGGGGCUAGCGUUGUCCGGAAUCAUUGGGCGUAAAGCGCGUGUAGGCGGUUCGGUAAGUCCGCUGUGAAAGUCGGGGGCUCAACCCUCGAAUGCCGGUGGAUACUGUCGGGCUAGAGUGCGGAAGAGGCGAGUGGAAUUCCUGGUGUAGCGGUGAAAUGCGCAGAUAUCAGGAGGAACACCAAUUGCGAAGGCAGCUCGCUGGGACGCUACUGACGCUGAGACGCGAAAGCGUGGGGAGCAAACGGG
rnacentral:rRNA from 1 species